rnacentral:rRNA from 1 species
GACGAACGCUGGCUGCGUGCUUAACACAUGCAAGUCGAACGGAAAGGCCCUGCUUUUGUGGGGUGCUCGCGUGGCGAACGGGUGAGUAACACGUGAGUAUCCUGUCCUCGAUUUUGGGAUAACUCCAGGCAACUGGUGCUAUUAACGGAUAGGUGCUAUUGCUGCCCGGUGGUGGUUGGAAAGUUCCGGCGGUUGGGGUUGGACUUGCGUCUUAUCCGCUUGUUGUUGGGGUAGUGCCUUACCAAGGCCUUGACGGGUAGCCGGCCUGCGAGGGUGACCGGCCACAUUGGGACUGAGAUACGGCCCGGACUCCUACGGGAGGCAGCAGUGAGGAAUAUUGCACCAUGGGCGGAGGCCUGAUGCAGCAACCCCGCGUGCGUGAUGACGGCCUUCGGGUUGUAAACCGCUUUCGCCGGAGACGAAGCGUGAGUGGCGGUAAUGGGUAAAGAAGCACCGGCUAACUACGUG